rnacentral:rRNA from 1 species
AGUGAACGCUGGCGGUAGGCCUAACACAUGCAAGUCGAACGGCAGCACAGUAAGAGCUUGCUCUUACGGGUGGCGAGUGGCGGACGGGUGAGGAAUACAUCGGAAUCUACUUUUUCGUGGGGGAUAACGUAGGGAAACUUACGCUAAUACCGCAUACGACCUACGGGUGAAAGCAGGGGAUCUUCGGACCUUGCGCGAUUGAAUGAGCCGAUGUCGGAUUAGCUAGUUGGCGGGGUAAAGGCCCACCAAGGCGACGAUCCGUAGCUGGUCUGAGAGGAUGAUCCCCCCCCCUGGAACUGGGACCCGGUCCAGACCCCCACGGGGGGCAGCAGUGGGGAAUUUUGGCCAAUGGGCGCAACCCUGAUCCCGCCAUCCCGCGUGGGUGAAGAAGGCCUUCGGGUUUUAAACCCCUUUUUUUGGGAAAAAAAAGCAGCAGUUUAAUCCCCCGCUUUUCCGACGGUCCCCAAAGAAUAAGCCCCGGCUAACUUCGU